ACGUAGGUUCCGAGCGUUAUCCGGAUUUACUGGGCGUAAAGCGCGUUCAGGCGGUUUGGCAAGUCGGGCAUGAAAUCCUUCGGCUCAACCGGGGGAGGUUGUCCGAUACUGCUAAACUGGAGGGCAGUAGAGGGUGGUGGAAUUCCGGGUGUAGUGGUGAAAUGCGUAGAGAUCCGGAGGAACACCAGUGGCGAAAGCGGCCACCUGGACUGUACCUGACGCUGAAACGCGAAAGCUAGGGGAGCGAACGGGA
rnacentral:rRNA from 1 species